rnacentral:sRNA from 1 species
ACCUGUCACGGGCGCUCUGCGCGGCGCCCGGGGCACAAGACAAACACCGUGCCACGGGAACAUUCGGGCACUUUUGGGCGUU